GCCAGGAGGUAUUCUGAAAUUCACACGACUCCUUUGUUCUGUAAACUUGCAUAUUUGUACAGCUGAGCAAAAUUUGGGCACUACCUCUCUCAUGGAAAAUUAUGUUCUUGCUCCUAUCUCCCAACCAAGCAUGAACCAGACAGAGUUCUAAAAGGUUUCAUAGAGGCUUUCUAGAUUGAUAUAUUCACAGAGCCUUGUAGACAUCCUUAAGUGUUAAUGAAAUGUUCUCUCAGGUUUAGCUGUAUUGCGUUACCACCCUAAAGAUGAAGGAAUCCUCAAACUACCAGUGGGGAACAUGCUGUCUUCUGUAUUCAUCUACUUCAGAGAGAAUGAUUUUUUUCCCCUUUCUAAUCACAGGCAUAGGUGAAGACAGGCUGCUCAGACUAACACGAAGACAAAGCAUCUAUGUCAAAGCAGUAAUCAUAUGUGUCCUGCUACCCUGUGCAUUAGCCUUCAUCGUGUUUGUUAUAUUUGAAGUUCCCUUCCCAUGUCCAUGCCCUGGCUGGAGCCAGCAAUGCAACUGUAUUCAGAAAUGUAAAAGACAAGGAGAAGAACGCACAGAAAACCCAAAUUCUGUAUCAUCCGAAGGAUCUGUCACGAGAAGCAAGAACAUCAGCAUUUUACACGAUAUAGAGUCAAACAAUUACAGAUUGCAAUGAAAGUGACAUUAGCCUGUUUUAGGGGCCCUUCUUACGGAACUAACCCCUCGGAACACAUCUCGGUGUUGACUCCCUCCAUGAACUACCUGGAAUCAUAUUUUAACUUCAGCAGUAGACCAUGGUCAUUAGAAACAAAGGGAAUAAUGGAAAAACCUACUUGCAGAAGCAAUAAAGUCCCACCAACAUUGCA
rnacentral:lncRNA from 1 species